rnacentral:lncRNA from 1 species
UAAAAAAAAUUAGUUUUUUAAUUAUGGAUUAAACAAUUCUAAUAUAAUGGAGGGUAAAAUGGUCACAACCCAUACAUUCAAUUUAUUUAUUUUUGCUAAAUUACAUUCAGACAAAUUAAAGAAAUCAAAAUCUUCGAAACAAUAACAAUCGAUCUAAACAAAGCCAUCGUAAAAAAAGCCCAACUCUGAGAAUGACAAAUUGUUCAACGAUUCCGGGGACUGCGAAUCACGAAUUUCUCAACUAUUCCAGCGAAGGAUAUAUGGAAACCAUUCCUCGUCAUUUGUGCCCUCCAUUUUCUCUUUAAAACUAAAUAAAACCCUCACACCUUCACUCACCAACUCUUCAAUAGCAGAAAACGACUACUUUGAAGUCUUGCUUUCCUUUUACUUCUCUCAUCAUUUUCCCCCAAAUCUAUCUAAACCAGAUAUGUUAGUAAAAUUUUGUAAACCCAUAUAAAUAUAUAGAGAGAUAGAGACAGGAGAAAGUAUAUGUGUAUAUGGGGAAGAUAUAUAGAGAGACAUCUAAUUAGGGGCAACAAUUGUUGCUAGAAAGGUAAAAAAUGCAAUGGGUUUUCAAAAAUCACCUGCAAAUCCCAAACCAGACUUACCCCCAAAGCUAUCAUCUCUUUCGUUGAGCUCAGCCAAGGUCCAGCAAAAGGAGUUGCGUUCUCGCGCUCAUUCGGCGUAUACUUCUCAUGUGCCUCCGCGCAGGUGCAACCACGUUCGCUGGACGCGGCGGAGUUCUUCCACCUAGUCGAACAAUUGUGUGAGAGAAUCUAGUUUAAAACUGGAGCUUCUAGAACAAAAGCUCCUAAAAGACAAUUUGUGAUUCUCAGAUCGACUUUGGGGCUUCCUUUAGAUCUAGAUGGAUUGUUAUUAUUUUGAAGAUUUUGAUUUGUUUACUUUUUCUAAAUGUAUGAGUUGUGACUAUUUUACCC